UACGUAGGGUGCGAGCGUUAAUCGGAAUUACUGGGCGUAAAGCGUGCGCAGGCGGUUUCUUAAGCCAGAUGUGAAAGCCCCGGGCUUAACCUGGGAAUUGCGUUUGGAACUGGGAGACUAGAGUGUGGCAGAGGGAGGUAGAAUUCCACGUGUAGCAGUGAAAUGCGUAGAGAUGUGGAGGAAUACCGAUGGCGAAGGUAGCCUCAGGGGCCAACACUGACGAUCAUGCACGAAAGCGUGGGGAGCAAACAGG
rnacentral:rRNA from 1 species